rnacentral:rRNA from 1 species
GUGUCAGCAGCCGCGGUAAGACGUAGGGCGCGAGCGUUGUCCGGAUUUAUUGGGCGUAAAGAGCUCGUAGGCGGCUCAUUGCGUCAACCGUGAAAUCCUGCUGCUCAACGGCAGGUCUGCGGUUGAUACGGGUGGGCUGGAGUUCGGUAGGGGAGACUGGAAUUCCUGGUGUAGCGGUGAAAUGCGCAGAUAUCAGGAGGAACACCGGUGGCGAAGGCGGGUCUCUGGGCCGAUACUGACGCUGAGGAGCGAAAGCGUGGGGAGCGAACAGGAUUAGAUACCCUGGUAGUCC